rnacentral:rRNA from 1 species
AGCAGCCGCGGUAAUUCCAGCUCCAAUAGCGUAUAUUAAAGUUGUUGCAGUUAAAAAGCUCGUAGUUGAAUUUCGGAAUCAAUAUGUUGGUCGUGCCUUGGUACGUACUGGCAUUAUUGGUUUCUACCUUCUGAAGAACCUCGAUGUCAUUAAUUUGGUGUCUUGGGGAAUCAGGACUGUUACUUUGAAAAAAUUAGAGUGUUUAAAGCAGGCUCACGCUUGAAUACAUUAGCAUGGAAUAAUGAAAUAGGACGUUUGAUUCUAUUUUGUUGGUUUCUAGGAUCGACGUAAUGAUUAAUAGGGAUAGUUGGGGGCAUUAGUAUUCAAUUGUCAGAGGUGAAAUUCUUGGAUUUAUUGAAGACUAACUACUGCGAAAGCAUUUGCCAAGGAUGUUUUCAUUAAUCAAGAACGAAAGUUAGGGGAUCGAAGACGAUCAGAUACCGUCGUAGUCUUAACCAUAAACUAUGCCGACUAGGGAUCGGAUGAUGUUAAUUUUUUAAUGACUCAUUCGGCGCCUUACG